AUGUAUACUGGUAUUCUUGAUGAAAGUUUCUCCUUAAACACUGUCUGUCAUUGCCUCUGCACAGGCUCCGCCCUCCAAGGCAAUCCAUGCUCGCCCAUAGGAUUUGUCAGAGAGCCCUCAAUCCAAACGUCCUUCCUGGUUCCAGCAGGAUUCCUUGUGCCCAUUAGGGAAACCAGAAGGAUUGUCCCUGUUUAUUUGCUAUCAGAGAGGCCUUUGAACUCCAGGAAAGCUGCCAUCUUGUUUUUGCUCACUCCUCGUAUGCUUAGUGUCUGCAGCAUGAAACACUGGUUUUGCUGGAAGUCUUCUUUCCAAAGAAAUCCAUGUACCAGGCCAGUGUUCCUGCAUGCUAUGAAGAUCCCAAAUGAUACUAGCUGUCUUCGUGGGAACUGGAGCCUGGUCAGAAUGGUAAACCAUGGGACCCAAAGCCCAGCCUGCAGAAGCAUUAAGCAUUAAACAUCGGCUUCCUAAUAGGUUUGGUGAAUUUUGAGAGAUUCAAAGAAUUGCUUUUCGAAACAGAGAUGAAGAAGAAUGGAGAGAUAUCACGGUCCUACUAAAGUUGAAUGAAAACUUCAGAGAUUCAAUCUUUGUUGCAUUCCUUUUUCCAAAUUUGAAAAAAAAUUGUGAUCAUUUUCUUUGAUUUUUUUCGUUCUUCACAUAGUAAUAUUUACUUUUGCUCACCCAGAAGACAGAGGACCAUGAAUGUGAUCUUAUUUAGGAUGGCAUGAAUGUGUAAACAUCCAGAGGAUCUGAUUAUCUCCAUUUUAUUGCAUCACAUCCACAUACAUGUCUAUGUGCACGCACGCACGUUUGGCAUGCAGAUCUGUGUGUAUACUGUGAUUCUCACUUUGUUAAAAUACAAACACACCCAGAGUAAAACUAGGACCAGCAGCGGUUACGCCCAGUGGUUAGGGCUAACAUAGCAUUUGUUCCUCUUCUUAAAUAUAGUUUCUUUUCAAAAAGGUAACAUAAAAUAACCCAUUUCAUUCUCAUAAUCACUAUUUGCAGUGUUACCUUUACCUUAUUUAAGAAAUAAGGAAAUAAAAAUUCACAGAGGUUGAGUAAUUUAUCCCA
rnacentral:lncRNA from 1 species